rnacentral:rRNA from 1 species
UACAGAGGUCCCAAGCGUUGUUCGGAUUCACUGGGCGUAAAGGGUGCGUAGGCGGUUGGGUAAGUCUGAUGUGAAAUCUCACAGCUUAACUGUGAAACUGCAUUGGAUACUAUCCAACUCGAGGAAUGGAGGGGAGACUGGAAUACUUGGUGUAGCAGUGAAAUGCGUAGAUAUCGAGAGGAACACCAGUGGCGAAGGCGAGUCCCUGGACACUUCCUGACACUGAGGCACGAAAGCUAGGGGAGCAAACAGG